UCAUUCGGUAGCAAUACCGGAGAAGACCAAGUGGCGAACGGGUGAGUAACACGUGAGCAACCUACCCCGAAGACUGGGACAACACCGGGAAACCGGUGCUAAUACCGGAUACCCCCAUUGGACCGCAUGGUCUGAUGAGGAAAUGGAUUCCGCUUCGGGAGGGGCUCGCGGCCUAUCAGCUAGUUGGUGAGGUAACGGCUCACCAAGGCAUCGACGGGUAGCUGGUCUGAGAGGACGAUCAGCCACACUGGGACUGAGACACGGCCCAGACUCCUACGGGAGGCAGCAGUGGGGAAUCUUGCACAAUGGGCGAAAGCCUGAUGCAGCAACGCCGCGUGAGGGACGAAGGCUUUCUGAGUUGUAAACCUCUUUCAGCAGGGACGAUGAUGACGGUACCUGCAGAAGAAGCCCCGGCCAACUACGUGCCAGCAGCCGCGGUAAUACGUAGGGGGCAAGCGUUGUCCGGAUUUAUUGGGCGUAAAGAGCUCGUAGGCGGCUUGGCAAGUCGGAUGUGAAACCUCCAGGCUUAACCUGGAGUCGCCAUUCGAUACUGCUAUGGCUAGAGUUUGGUAGGGGACCACGGAAUUCCUGGUGUAGCGGUGAAAUGCGCAGAUAUCAGGAGGAACACCAGCGGCGAAGGCGGUGGUCUGGGCCAAUACUGACGCU
rnacentral:rRNA from 1 species